AUUCUUCUCUCGAAAAUCAUCGCGACGGGAUGUAUCGCCGGUCGAAUUUGCGUAACCUCGACUACGCAAAUUAUUCAGAAUUCAGUUCAGAUUAUCGUUUGAUUGUCGAGAUGACAUCGAAGAAAUAUUACGAUUUAUAAUCGAUGAUUUUUCCGUAUAUCAGGUUAUUGACUGAUUAAGUGUAACUUGGAAGGCGGGAAAAGUUCCAAUAUGGACGCUAUGAAGACGCAAUAAAGUUUGAUAUUUUGUGAUCGUGCGCAAUGCGAUCGUUAGAGUUAAUAUUUGCUUCGUAAUAGUGAAUUAUAAUAUUCUUUCAUGAAAAUAGAGUCAGUGUUUGUUCGCCGAUUAUAAUUUAAACGAACGUGUUAAUAGUUUUUUAUUUAUUUUUUUCUUUUUUAAAUAUUCGUUUCCAUAUAUAUUCGAUUCAGUGUUUGAAAAAAGAAAUAAAGCGAUCAUCCAUCACGCGAAGAGAUAUUUUCUACUUUUUAAUGACUACGCUAAUAUCGACAUUCUUCGCAUCUAAUGCAUCUCAAUCGAGGAAGCUUUAAGUGUUUCAAACAUUGAAUACUAGAGGGCGUAACAUUUAUCUUUCGAGAUCGGUAUGUUAGAACAUUUCAUUUCUCUUGAAACUUGUACGAUCGGCCGGUAUUACUUACGUAGGUAUAGUAGCUUUUGACAUUGCCAAUGGUAGAGAUGGUUGAAAGUCUGUUUUAUCGACUUUUGACAAUACUUGUCAAAAAGAUCGUUAGGAGCGCUAGUAUCGCACGGUAAAUUGAAUCGCAAUUAAAAGUUAUCAAGAUUAUAGGUAUUAAAACGAUAAUAAA